rnacentral:lncRNA from 1 species
CCUAAUUUUGAUACAUGGAUACAUAUAGAUUGGUUUAUUAUGUCCAAACCAACUAUUUUGUGACUCAACAAAUUUGUGUAAGAAAUUUUAAUGUUUUGGGCAUAUUAGAGGUUAUUUAUCUAAUGAAAUGAACCUUUAAUUUAUUUAAGAAAUUUUUGUGUUUUGAGCAUAUUAAAGAUUGUAAAUUGGUUUUAUUUAAAUUAUGAUUAAAUCUAAAAUUUUGGUAGAGCUUGGGAAAUACUGAUGGAGUUUUUACAUACCUUGCAACAAAUCCUAUUUGAUUACAAUUUUGAUAGAUUUUCUAACUCCAAACUUUGUAAAAAUUUGUCAUCUUAUAUUAUUAAUGGAUUGUGUACACUAUCUUUAUUGAUUCAACUAGCCUAUAUUUUGUUAUAUGAAAACCACUUUCUCUAGUGUUUAAUCUUGUAAUUUUGAGUGUUUGCCCAAGUGGGAGAAAUAAUGUAUUAUGGGCUUCACACUCAUCAAUUUUGCAUGCUUUUAAUGAUCAUAGUUUUGGUAGAUAAAACGUACAUUAUCAUACUUGUUUAUAUUUUAUUUGUUACAUAUGCAACUAAUCUUGUAAGAAAUUCAAGAAGGGUUAAUGAGUAUAUUCUGCUCAAAAGUGUUUUGCUUAUUAAUUCUUGUAUGUUGUUCAAGAAAUUGAACUUGUGAUUUAUAUGUUAUUGAUGAAUAAUUAAUCUGCUCAAAAGUGUUUUCUUAUUCAGUACAACUAUAAAUCAAUGUAUAGUGAAGCAUGGAAUUGACAAGAUUGUAUAUACUUCAUCUGCUCAAAAGUGUUGAAGCUAUAUAUGUUUGCCCUUGUAUUUUAUGUUUUAGCUAUGCAAACCUAAUAUAAUUAGUUUCUGUCCAAAGAUGAUUCUAGAAUUAUAUGCUUUUGAUGCAUUAGAAAACAUUCAGUUAAAGUUUUCUAUUUCUGUCAAUUGUUAGAUGAACAAAACUGACCAAAUAAUUUUGUAUAGUUUUUCAGUCAUGAGAAUCACUUCCCUACAAAUAUCUAAAAUAAAGAUGUUGAGCUCAUAAAUUUUAUGUUUUAGAUCCCAUGACUAAUGUUUUGCUAAUGGGAGUAUUUGAAAGGUGUCUGUUUCAUUUUAUAGGCAUUUAUAAAGUUUUUUUUUUACUCUCUUAAUCAGUGGGAGUAAUAAUUUGUUUAUCUCUACUAAAUCAGUGGGAGUAAGAGAUUACCUUUUGUGUUAAAAAUUUGAAGUGUUAGUGGCUGAUAUUUUAAGAGUAAAUUUUGUUUAAGUUUUGUUCAUAAGUUUUAAUAAGAGGUUCUAAUUUUGUAAAUAGUAUGCCGUAUUUUACUCGUUCUCUUAUCAUAUUCUAAAUUGACAGAAAAGUUGGAUGUUGUUACCAACGUUGUUGAGUUCUUUUAUGAACUACUUUUGUACUGAAAUAUAUUUUCAUAUUUUCAGUUCGACUAUUGUGAGCUAAUGUUUUGACUAUUAGCUCUUGACACCAUGACUUAGAUAGCAACAAGGUGCUUUAAGUUGAAUGUGUAUGUGAUCUUGGAGUGCAAGGAACAGACCAAAUUGUUCUUUGUUUUCUUUGGUUCUGCAUUCGAUUCAAAGUGACAGGUUGCUAGGAAAGGUUAUUGCAUACUUAUGAAGACUCAGUGAUCACCAUGAGUUCUUAUUUUGUUAGGAUGAAUCAUUGACAUUCAAGUGGGAGAAUGUAAGAUUGUGAAUGAUAAUGAAUGUUGUAUUGGAUCGUUUUGUUGUAAGCCACUUGUCUAUCAAGUUGUUAGCAACCAAAGUGAUCCGAUAGUCCUAACAUAAUAAGGAUUAUGGAGUCUAAACCUUUGCAAUUGACUUAAAGAAAUCUGAUGGAUUUCACUACAAAGAUAUAGUAUCAUGGUGGGACUUAAACACUUAAGUGAUAGGAUUUGAUUUUCACAACCAAUAAUAGGCCGGCUGUGAUUAAACCCUAAUGAUAUAAAUACUAUGGUUAAGUCCCUGCUUCCAUACGCUCAAUCUCUAAAAAUACGCUAAACCCUAUUCACAGCAGAGAGAUAUUUUGAAGUACUGGAAGUAGAAGACGACCAAGAACUCUGCAAUGUCUUCCGUAUUCUUACAGAUAAGUUUAAUAUAAUUAGUCGAUCUCUAUUUUAUAUAUUGAUUUUGAUUUAUUCGUGAUCCUAAUGUCUUGUUGUUGUGAUUUCAGAAUAUGUCUUACAUGUGGUAUCAGAGCCGCACAACAAGCUUAGGGUCCGAUAUAAAGGUAUAAGCAAAUUUGUUUAUUGAAGAUGAUUCACAUACUAAAGAAAAUUUGCUUAUCAUUUUGGUUGGAUGCCUUCUACUGUUCCAUCUCAUGAAAAUUUGUUUUGAUGCUUCCGCAAUUUUGUGUUGGUAUGCAAUCAUUUUCAUGGUUAAUAACAUAUGGAUUGGAUUGGGGGUGACUAUGCAUACUGCUGCCUUUAAAUAGUUUUCAUGAAAUUUAAUUAUUUAUUUUUCUUGUUGGCUCUCAUUUAAUUAUUAAGAGUGGGUUUGUUUUGGUUCGAUUAAUCGUGCUCUUGUGAUAUGAUUCUGGGGUUUUUCUUGCUUCCGCGUUUUUUUUUUUUUUCUUCUUGAAUGGAUAUGUUAACCUUGUAUUGCCGAGAAGAUUGUGUCAUCUGUUGUGUUUUCUGCAAAAUUUUUCUUGCAAUUUUUUUUAUCACGUUUACCUGGGCAUCAAGAUAAACUGAAAUUAGGUAUACAACUCCAACUAGGUUUGUUGUAUGCGACUUUAUGGACUGCUAUUUGAUAAUUAUGAAUUGAUAAUUCAUAAAUAUAUAUAUAUAUAUAUAUGCAAGGUCACUAUUGUUUUCGGUGAACGAUGACCUAAUCUUAUCUUGGGUAAUAUUUUGAUUUAUUAUAUAAUUUUUUGAUUAUUAAUUUAGUUGAUAAAUAUUACCGGUUCCUAUUUGAUUAAAAAAAAUAAAAAUAAAAAAAAAAGGAAAGGGUUAAAACAUGCGAACAGUAAAGAAUUUCUCCCCCGUGUGAGGGUUUCUGUUUCAUCAAUGCCUAGCUUACACCAACCUCCUUCAAUCACUGUAAUGCUCGAAUUGAAGCUUUGAAAUUUCGGGGUUAUUCAUGCGAAGGUAUUGAAACUGCUUUUUCAUAAAUUAUUGCAAUUUGGUUGAAUUUGAAAUUAAGCUUUUGUUUCCAAUUGAAUUGAUUUUGUGAUAUUAUAAUUGAGAAGUUGAAAACUAUCAUGUUGUUUCUGAGCAAAUAUUAGUGUUUUCAUUUGGGAUUAAUUCAAUUUUGCAGUUUUCGACUCUUAUCCUUAUAGUGCAUAUGCAAAUGAAUAAGUAAGUUUUUAGUUCUUGGUUAUUUCUCUAUGAAGUGAUAGUCGCUUCUAUUAUUGCAAUGAAUAUUACUUUUAGUAUUCUUUGAAAUCGAUUGUCCGUUUCAAUUAUGACAUAGAAAAGAAUAAACAUUCCUUAAGUGUUUUUAUGUGACUGAUGUAAUUUUGAUAUGAAAAUCAUUCAUAUCAAUAAUUUCCGUUUGAUAAGACUUCCCUAACAUCAAUAACAUAUAAUAUUUUGUCAUGUAAAUGGAUUUUUAGACGCUGGUAUUUUUUUCACGUUUUUUUGGACCAGAAAUGGAUUUAUGGUAAAUUUUUAAGUGUGAUACCAUAGUGUUGGAAUUCUGCAGACUUCCGCAGAAUAGUCUGCUUGUGAUAUUAUUUUGAAAUAUCUAUGUGACUCAUAAAUUCAUGAAAUUUUAGUAUGAUAUACAUUGAGAUAUUUAUUUCAAAUCUGGAAAUUUUGACGAGCAUUGGUUUAAAAAUGAAUUAUUGGUGAAUUUUUAAUCUCGGGACUGUCUUGCAGAAUUUAUGCGGUUUCUGCAGCAAAUUCCAUUUCGAUUUUAUUUUUAGCCCACUUUUAAAAUCGCAUAAAUCAUGGAAUUUUGGGUAACAAUAAAAUUUACAUGUCUACUUUAUUUCUGCAAAUUUUUCAUACACAUUGGAGGAAGAUUGAAGUUUUGGUGAAUUAUUUAGUCUCGGGUAUGUACUGAACAUUUUCUGCUGUUUCUGCAGCACCUCUCUUUUCAAAAUUCAUUUUUGGCUCGCUUAUAAGAUUUUAAAAAUCAUGAAAUUUUGCAAAAUAGUAGUCAUAUAUGUCUAGUUCAUACUUGAAAAUUUUCAUGACAAUCUAAAGAGAAUUGAGUUUUUAGUGAAUUUGCAAACUAAAGUAGUACUGCUGAAUUUUGGUACUUCAAACUAGUUUUGUUAUGUGAUAUUGUUUGAACUGAUUUGUGUACAUCAAUUGGUACCAAUUAUUGUACAAGUUUAUGGUUCCAAUAUGUCCUUAUGUUAUGCAAAUUCUCAAUACUAAUGAAUUUUAUAAACAACACUGAUUAAAUUUUGAUUUAAAGAUGUAUUGGUUUGUUUUGCUUAAAACCAAUGUUUUGUUUGGUCUUCAAUUCUGAUUAUGAUGAUAAUUGUCUUUUGAGAAAAUUGGAAAGUGGAAUUAGUUUACUAAUUGAUCAUUUUGGUCCCUAUCGAAUAACUGAAUAACCAUGUUUCUUCUUUUGAGAACUCUAUUGUUCAAUGUCAACAACGACAUACUUUUUGUGUCUGAUUGAAUCUUUUGAGAAUCAUUGAAUAUCCAACAAAAACGGUUAUUUAAUACUGUUCUAAAAAGAUUAUUUUGAAAAAAUCAGAAUUCUAAUUUAUAUGGUGAAUACUUUUGUCCCAAUGGGAAAUUCAGGAAAUCACUCACCAAUUAUAAAAUUAGUAUUAUAACAAAUCAUAAAAUACUUUUAACAUAUGUUCAUCUAGCCAAAGCUGUUGAAGCUAUAUGUAUUUUGUGUAUUUUAUGUUUUGGCUAGCUACGCAGGUAUUUUCUUUGCAUGAUUAGUUUCUGCCCAAAGGUGUAACAAUCAUACAAAUUGGAGUUGGUUCGAUCCUCCACAACUCAACUACUUCCAUGAUGAAUCUUGCAGAAUCGAGAAUGAGUAGGUAAAUUUGCCAAUCUUUUGCCUUAAUUUUCAGUGAAUUCUAAAUUGGAUUAAAAUUAUUGUUGAAAAAGUUGAUGUUGUUGAGAUAUCUAUGUGUUUACUUUUAUCGACUUUGUUUUAGAAUUAAAACAUAAAUUUUGAGUUUGGAUUCUCUUAUUAGGUUUCAUUUUACUUUAUGACCUAAUCUUUAACACAUAUGUGGGUCUUCUCUCAUACACUAAAAUAAAUUUUGUAGCCAUUGGUUUAUCUAAUCACUUGUCACUUUUAGAUCGAUUAAUAAUGUUGAGAUAUUGUUCCUUUUAUAAGCCUAAUUUUGAUACAUGGAUACAUAUAGAUUGGUUUAUUAUGUCCAAACCAAACUAUUUUGUGACUCAACAAAUUUGUGUAAGAAAUUUUAAAUGUUUUGGGCAUAUUAGAGGUUAUUUAUCUAAUGAAAUGAACCUUUAAUUUAUUUAAAGUUUUUGUGUUUUUGAGCAUAUUAAAGAUUGUAAAUUGGUUUUAUUUAAAUUAUGAUUAAAUCUAAAAAUUUUGGUAGAGCUUGGGAAAAUACUGAUGGAGUUUUUACAUACCUUGCAACAAAUCCUAUUUGAUUACAAUUUUGAUAGAUUUUCUAACUCCAAACUUUGUAAAAAUUUGUCAUCUUAUAUUAUUAAUGGAUUGUGU